GAAAAGUACCGCGUAAACAAGCUCGGGUUCCACUGUCCAAAUUGACCGUUGGUUUUAUCCAGAUUACCCGGAUGAAUACCAAUCAGAAACAACAAACGACACUAACGACAGUUUACACUUUGACUAAAACUACACUGGACGAGAAACAAUCCUUCUUAAUUCCCUGAAGAAGACCCCAUAGAGGGUUGAAACGUUGGAUACC